GACGAACCGAGCGAGCGUUAUUCGGAAUCACUGGGCUUAAAGGGCGCGUAGGCGGGCGGCCAAGUCAGGGGUGAAAGCCCCCAGCUCAACUGGGGAAGUGCCUUUGAUACUGGUCAUCUCGAGGGAGAUAGGGGCGUGCGGAACUUCCGGUGGAGCGGUGAAAUGCGUAGAUAUCGGAAGGAACACCGGUGGCGAAAGCGGCGCGCUGGAUCUCUUCUGACGCUGAGGCGCGAAAGCCAGGGGAGCGAACGGG
rnacentral:rRNA from 1 species